rnacentral:rRNA from 1 species
GUGGGGAAUCUUGCGCAAUGGGCGAAAGCCUGACGCAGCCAUGCCGCGUGGAUGAUGAAGGUCUUAGGAUUGUAAAAUCCUUUCACCGGUGAAGAUAAUGACUGUAGCCGGAGAAGAAGCCCCGGCUAACUUCGUGCCAGCAGCCGCGGUAAUACGAAGGGGGCUAGCGUUGCUCGGAAUUACUGGGCGUAAAGGGAGCGUAGGCGGACAUUUAAGUCAGGGGUGAAAUCCCAGAGCUCAACUCUGGAACUGCCUUUGAUACUGGGUGUCUUGAGUGUGAGAGAGGUAUGUGGAACUCCGAGUGUAGAGGUGAAAUUCGUAGAUAUUCGGAAGAACACCAGUGGCGAAGGCGACAUACUGGCUCAUUACUGACGCUGAGGCUCGAAAGCGUGGGGAGCAAACAGGAUUAGAUACCCUUGUAGUCC